AAAAACGAUAAUCAUUUCAAAAGUCGGGAAAUUGAAUAUCAUUUAUUGAGCAAUUUGAGUUUUAGUUUUAUACGAUAAAGGCAGGAUAUUACUUAAACAGUGACACUGCAUGCUGUUUUAAUCCCGUUGCAACGGAAUCAGUAGUGCAAUAAACCUAACUUGGCUAAACAGUAUGUAAAGUGAGGAGUAAAUUUGGCAUGAUAACGAAAGGCAUUUUUAUUUUGACUGCAGUAUCCCUACAUUAUUACAUUGAUCAGAAAAGCUGGUUGAAAUAGGAAGGCAAGCGAACGUUUGAUUCGAACCGGAUACUGAUCUGGAUGUCGGGAUUGCGUGCAUGUGUAGCGGCAUCAGAAGAGUUUAUUGACCUGAAACCUCUUAUACAAAUCGCUAUGACGUCUCGUGCCCAUCGUACCAUAGCCGACGGUUGCAGUUACAUCGAAGAAAAUCGAAGCGAAUACCAAUCUAAACUGGACACUGAUAUGUUUUUAAUAAGAGACACAAGAGUUGGAUUAAAACGACCUACUUUUUAAGAAACAUGUCGAAUAAAAAAAGUAAAAAUAA